rnacentral:rRNA from 1 species
GACCUGCGGAUGCGGA